ACCAGAAGACGUUGGUUCCGGACUCCCUGGACGGCGGAUCUGAACUCCGGAAUAUCCGGAAAUCGAUCCAAAGAUCAUCCAACAGAUUCGGCAUCAAAGCGAUUGUGUGACACACAGACACACAACAUUCCGUCGUCACCGUGCCUGCCGUGACCUAUCUCUGUCCGAAAGGCGAAGAAGAAGCGUUCGAAAGUGCCGUUAGAUUCCAUUCUUGGGCGUCCGCGCGACAUCCGCGUACCAUCCGCGACUGGAUUGCGUCAACCGACCGACCGACCGAUCGCUUCUUAAGCAUUCUUCGCACGAAACUUUCCCCCCGGCGCGAUCGCGAUUGACCCGAUUCUCCCGGCAUCGCACCGCACGCGCGCUUCAAUCAUGUGUGUGGCGGCCAACGGCGAGGGCGACGCGUAAAUAUUUCGUGAGAACGAGAAAGGGCGAGUGUGCGAUCCGGGGGCACAUGCGGAUUGGGGUAAUUGUGUCGGGAAUUGUUUCUAAGUGAAGUCAAUCAGUGCGUGCGUGCAGUAAACAGUGGGACGGAUCCCCAGCACAAGCAGCAGUAGCAGUAACAGCAGGAGUUGUGUUCGGUUCUGUUCGUUCCGUAGUGCUUCGGUACGUCGCGGUCCGUGAAGUUGAAGUUUCUCCUGUUCCCGUUCCUGUUGUGGUGUGUUGCGGUUUCGUGAAGAAGAUCCCACAGGGUACAGGUGGCCAGAAAAGGGAGGCAGAAAAGAAGUGAUACAGCAACAGCAGCAGCAACACAUCGAAACGUAUCGCGCCUCAGUUCAAUUACUAUAACCAACCAACAAGUGAUUAACCUUUUAACUUUCGUGUGACGAGUAAGUGAUCAAAGCGUGAGAUCAAAACGCAGUGCAGCGAAGCAGCAAUUGGAGUUUUGUGUGUGUGUGGCAGCAGCCCUCCUCGUCACCAGACAGCGUACCCGCAAUCCAUCAUACAGAGACGACGACGACUGGACUCAACCGGAAACCGUUACCGCUGCUGCUCGAACUCGAACGACGCACACGUCACCAUCUGCAACUGGCGAGACCUACUAGCGGACCUACUAGACCAUGCAGCAUACCGUAGCAUAAGCAGUAGCGAGUGAUAGAUAGUAAAGCAAAAGCAAUAGCCCCCCUUCUUACUCCACUUGCAUCC